rfam:Chloroflexi bacterium 13_1_20CM_66_33 13_1_20cm_full_scaffold_5708, whole genome shotgun sequence.
GCCCGCGUAGGCUAGUUUGGAUAGACUUCCAGGCUCCGGACCUGGUGACUUGGGUUCAAAUCCCAACGCGGGCG